UAGAAGUUGCCUCAUUUAUCCCCUUGGAUGCUUUUUCUCAUCCUCUCACUGUGCAUUUCUGUGCACCAGCAAAAUUGUUCAUGUAAUUAGGGUACUGAAGAGAUUGGAUACCUGAUCCAGAUCAAAUAGCAUGACAGGAAAAUUAGUUCUAACUCAGGUCAUUCCCCCAGUGAAAUUUUAAAAAAUCCCAAAGGUUCUUUAUCUAAUAUGGCAUGACAAGAUUUUUCUAGGAACAGACUGAAGCUCAGGCUUCAGGUUACACAUCCUGUGUUUCCCAUUUAUUGCAAAUGAAUGGUGGGUAUAACACCAGCUGUCUGGGGUGGGGCAGGGCACUGCCUCAGCCAGAACAACCUGGCCUGCCCCACCUCUCACCAAGUGCACAUAAGCAGGCAUUCCAAACACUCCAAAAAUGGCUAGAGACACUAAACUUACCCAGUUUCUGACGCAACAGGAACUUAGGAUAUCAUCCAUGCCAAAGCUUUUGCUGCUUACAGCAGAAUAGGAACUUGCAUAGUGGCAUAACUUGGAGACUCCAGCAACUGCAAUAUCCAGAGUAAUUUGUCUUAAACCUCUUCUUGUGAUUUAGAAAUGUUAUUCUCCAAAUUAGUACUGCCACUAAAAAGACCACACACCACUCCCCUCUCUUCUCCAAUGGAUGUCACAAAAGGCAAAGAAUACAAGAAUCAUCUCAGCAAUAAAAAAAUACUGGACUGCUAUACCCGCCAAGUUACUAAACUGUAAGGAAUGCCCUUCUCCUGGGAAGCAAGAGAGUUCUUUUCCACAUCAAAUAACUGCAGGAUCUUGGCCAUGCCCUCUUCCAGCUAUUGCAAAAGGUUUACAGCACUCCAAGCUCUGUAUCUCUAACAUUGGUGACGCUUCUUGUGCUGAAAAUAGAUUUAAGGACUGAAGGCCCCCAAAUGCACUGAAUUCCAGGGUGUGAUCUUAAUGACUAUUUAUUCUGACAGUCUAAUUAAAAUAAAAAUAAGCUAUUUUUCAACAAAGAAAUACAUAACCAUUAAAUUCACCUUAUUCUCCAGACCAACAUUUCUGUAUUACAAAAAAUCCCAGCAGAGCCCUUUGAUAUUCAGAAAUUAUUAGUCCAGCUGCAGACAGCUGCACCCCACAAAUCUACUCAACAUUUAGCACUGGCACAGGCUGCAUAAACUAGAUGAGGAGCUUCACAACUCACUGCAAGCCAAGCUUUAGCCAGCAGAGAUUCAGUAGUAGCCCCAAUGAGAGAGCAGAUGGACAAUGAGGGCUCUGAGCCUUCAUUAGCAUUGCUUAAGCCCAAAGACACUUUUAGACAGCUGCACCUGACCUGCCUACCCUUUUCUAUAUGAAAUCUACUCACGUCCCUCGUGUUUGCUGCCUGGACAAGGAUUAUCUCUUCUCUCGUGGGGACUGUGUGAUAUUCUUCAUUCCCACCCGACUUAUGCUCUUCAUCUAUUCAGUCAAGUCUAGUUAUUUUCCUUGUCUGUACCCUCUAGAAGACAGGGAAGAGGAGAGAUUCCAAUGGGAAAGACAGCCAUUGCUUAGAGUCCCUGAAGCCAGGGUUUUCCAGAAAAGUCGAUUCCAUUCCAUGGGUUGAAAUUGAGAGGUUGUAUAAUAGAAAUAUGAGGAUAUCCUCUACCGUCUGUCUUUUGAGGAAACACACCAUUUUCAAAUUAUUUGGGCAGUAAAAUCUGAAAAAUAUUUUCUGUCAAAAAUCUGGAAUUUUAAAACUGUAGUUUUAGAAGCAUUUAUGCCUGCUUGAAUGUGAAAAACAUAGUCAAAGGGACCACAGAAGACACGUUUGUUGACUUGUUUACAGGCAUUAUCCUGUAAAAUAUUAAUGAAGGCCACUUUCCUGAGUUUUUUGACAACUAGAGUAAAGGAGAAAUAUUCUGGUUGAGGAUUUUCACAGAAAAUGCAAUGGGAAGUUCUCUUCACCUACAUGGAAACACUCUGAACCAAGUAACUGGAUUAUGAUUCAGUCAUGAAGAGAAAACAAAGACUUACAAUGGUUUUUUGAUACUGCCUCAGUAGUAAAGCACUUCAGUGACCUAAUAGUCCAAUCUUACAGUGCCUGUAGAAUAUCAGGAGACAUCUGCUGUCUGAGGAAUGAACACAUAACAGUAGAUGUUGGAUGAUCAUGCUUUAACAUUAUCGGUUUUCUAUUCCACUUGUCUUUUUUACAUUUUGCAGUAAUAUAUCACAGGCUCAUGUAUUAAAAAAGUCUCCAAGGACAUUUUAUUCUCUAAGGAAACUGCAGGACGUUUAAAGCUUUUGCCUACAAAUUUAAAUAUACUAUAUUCAGAAAUAACAAAGGAAAUGUCUCUUCUUACAGGACUUCUGCUGCUGUUGUUAAAUGUUGUAAAGAGAAUUUUAGGAUAAAGGGAUGUUGUUCUAAGUGUCCUUGAAAAUAAACCUUAAAACUGUACAACCCUCAUGAAAAACAGCUAGGAUUGUCAAGCUUAGUGCUAUCAAAAACAGAUCAAGAGGAUUAAUACUGAUUUAUCGUUAGCAUCUUCCAUUUAAAAAAAAAAAGAAAAGAAGUGCCUUCAGAACAUAAAAUGUUAUUUUAGAGUCAAACUCUCAUGGGACAGAGAACAUGGGUUUUGAACUCCUAGACACAAAUAUAGCUUGAUUUUAUAUAUAUAUAUAAAGUUUUUAUGUAUGACUUUUAUGAUUUUGACUGACCACAGUUUACUAAUUUACUCAGGACUGACUGUAUGCUUGACCUUCCACAACAUGCAGAUAUCAAAAUAAUCUAUUCCCUACAGGCUUUACAAUUUGGAAGACAAACAUGAGUGAUAAGACCCACUAGGAAACCCAGAGGAUAAGUUCUUUGAAUUGUUGAUUUUGCUUUUUAUUUUGUUCUCGAGAUACAGAGAUACAAAACACUAAAAGUCUGUAGAGUCCUCUAAAAUUAGGCAAUAAGAAAUAUUAGAAAAGCUUUAUUUUUUUUUUACAGAGGGUGAAGUUCCUUAAUGGUCCUGCACAAUGUUUUUCAGAAGAAAGAUAAAAGUUAAUGAUGAUGCCUGUUUUAUUUCUAAGAUUAACAUUUUCUACAAUUUCAGCAGCAAUAUCAGUUUGUUUGCUGGGAAAAGAAAAAAUUAUUUUGCAAAAUUCUUAAAACUAUAUUGACAGUUGCAGGCCAACUGAUAUGUCCUGUCAUUUGGGAAUUUUAUCUGCCACAGAGAGAACAUAGACCAAAACUUAGUGCUGAGAAAUUGCCAUAUAAGCUUCAGCAAUGAUUGUGAAUAAUUUUGCUUGCUGCAGUUAUUUUUUGCAAGAGAAAUAUUACAUACAUUAUCUUUCACAUUUUUUUUGCAGCUGACAAUUGCCAAGGAUUCCAUUUUCCAUUGAUCACUCUAACCUUUUUUUACAUUGGGUAACAUUUCAAUUGCCAAAUCAUGUGCUCUCAAACUGCAAAUGCAAAUGAAGCAGCAACUAUACUGGCAAAAUACCGGAUUGUGCACACUCUGUGCAUAAAUAUAGGUUUGUCUGUACAUUUUAACUAACUUUAUUAUUCAGUUCUGUUCAGUUCUAACUAGAUAAUCACAAAAAUUUCUUUGAAAUCAAAGGGAUGACUAUAAUUCACUGAGAUGAAUGUCAUGUACUUUCUCUAAUAAUUUUAAUUUUUAACAUUAUGUCUGUAUCUGGUUCCAGCUCCUAAGACUUAUCACCUCUGUCUUUUUGUCCAUGAGAGUAUUGUUUCUGUUUCCUCUAGACAAGAUGAUUUCUUCCCCGCUGUGCCCCUCCACUCCAGCUAUUUUGCUAAUCUAUUUUUAGAAAUUCCAUUUAGUAAUUGGAACUUCUAAGAAGAAAUUUAAGUGAAAACUGAUAUUAAAGUAGAUCUUUUGCUGUAAGAUUUUUGUUAAAAUUAUAGUCUUUUUAUUAAAAACUGAAGAUAAAUAAUAAAUUAGUGGCAAUGUGCAUUAUAUCUAUGCAUACUAGAAAAAGCAUCUGUCUUUCUAUCAGAAAUCUACAGUCAAUCAGUUUUAUCAGCCAGGUGCUAGGCAAAGAAAUCCACAUGAAAUCAUGCAGAUUUUCGAGAGAAUUCCUCCUUUUCUGCUUCUUCAUUACUCUGAGGGAAAGAUAGAAAUCUGGUGCAAACAUUUUGUCUGCAUAACUUCAAAUGUUACUUUACAGCAAUGGAAUCUUAUCUUGCUUUAAAACUUCAAGGCAUUAUUCAACCUACAUGUUUUCAGUCUACAGCAAGGUGCUAUAAAUGAAAAUUUUCUCUCUUGACUUUCCACACAGAGUCUGCAGACUUCAUCAGAAAAUUAUGUUACUCAGUCUCUAAACUAUUUUUUAAAACUUUACAGGUGUGUAUAUGUGUAAAUUUGUGUGCCAAGUACAAAUGAAAUAGCUAUUUAAAUAGAAGAGCUAAGAAAAGAAGUCCUUAUGUCAUAGUGCAUUACCUUCAAAAUAAGUUUGCCAUUGACUUAAUGUAAAUUUCAGUAGAAAAGAUUUAGGGGCAAGCCUGUGACUGAUGUCAUUCAUUUCCUAUGAAACUUUGAUGAAAGAUUCUUUAAGGCAAAAAGUUGAGUGUCUUUUCCUGUUAUGGAUAUAAGCAAGAAGAGAAAAAGUACACACAUACAGAGACAUAUUUAUGAAAUGUAGUUAACUGUAGUAAACUACAGAAAGAAAUUAGGUCUGAAGAUUCAAAAAAUUUAACAUUUCCUGUGAUCAGCUAAAUUUAAUAGGAGUGACCAAGAUGCUUAAUGAUAAAUGAAGUUGGUCUCAUGGAACUUAAAGGACAGUGAUAUUUUAUCCAAAUACAUGUGCUUAUUCUUUCUGAACAAUAAGAAAUGCUGAGAGGAAAUAAACAUAUCUGCUGCUCUGAAAGCCUGAGCUAUUUCAAAGGUGAUACAGAAAAGGAAAAUAUAAAUGGAUAAAAGAAUGGUAGUCAUUGAAAAACAUAAUUCACCCAAAUCAAAACAAAUUGUGUAUACUCUGCUGACCUACAUUUAUGACUUCUGUCUUCAUUUUCCUAACUUGGAAUAUCAAAAAAAGCCUGAAAAUGCAGAAGCUUUGAAUCUGCUCUCUGUUGCCAUUUUUCCACCAAUUCUUGAGAUUUAUCAAGAGAUCUCUGAGGACAGUUCAUUGGCAACAAUAUUGACAAGCAAAACACCAGAAAACUCAAGACUUGAUUUGCUGUGGUUUUAAUCUAAUUUUAAAGAAAAAAAUCAUAUAUGACGGGAUAAGUAAAUACCAUUUUUAAUCUGGAGAAAGAUAGAUAUGAAGUUAGAGUCUUUUCUUUUACCAUAGAGAUUCUACAAGCAAUGAGCUCAGGCAUAGAUAUACGGCACACUAGCAUGAUAUGUUAACUAUCCCAGUUUAUAAACUCAUCCCACAGCAGGCAUGAGGUAACCUACUGUCACUGAGAUGCAGCCAAAACAAAGGCAUGACACUUAUAAAAGUCCACAAAUUAGGAUAUAAUUAAUACUAACUUGACUUGAACACAAGCAUGUAAUAUACACUAAUAUAGUGUAACUAAAAACUGUGUAUGUGUUUUGUAACACUGUGAAUAUUCUAUAAACUCAUACCAGAGCAAUGUGAACACCAAAAGAGAAAAUAAAGGUUAGAACAGAUGAAGAAAGAAAAGGUUCAAGGAACAAGAAGUUGCCACAGUAACAGACAAGUGCAUGGCACUACAAAUAGGCAGGCAUCCUGCUGAACACACAAGAGGUGGCUGGGAAGAGAGAUGAAAAGGGGAUAAGCAUUAUCAAAGCCAUAGCUAGAUGCAUAAAAGUAUCAGACCUAAGUGAGGAAACUAAAUAAGUAAACAAGAACCACUAUGGCCAUCAAUUCCAACUACAUGGUAUCAGAUCUCCAAAUUCACAUAUAAUUUAGUACAUAAAAGUGUUAAGAUCAACAACACCUUAAAUAU